rfam:Picea glauca, whole genome shotgun sequence.
CUAAUGGUGUCAUUAGACACCACCUUUUGUAUUGGAAAUUUAUAU